AAAGCGUGCGCAGGCGGUUUUGUAAGACAGGCGUGAAAUCCCCGAGCUCAACUUGGGAAUGGCGCUUGUGACUGCAAGGCUAGAGUAUGUCAGAGGGGGAUGGAAUUCCGCGUGUAGCAGUGAAAUGCGUAGAUAUGCGGAGGAACACCGAUGGCGAAGGCAAUCCCCUGGGCCUGUACUGACGCUCAUGCACGAAAGCGUGGGGAGCAAACAGGAUUAGAUACCCUGGU
rnacentral:rRNA from 1 species